rnacentral:rRNA from 1 species
UGAACUUAAGCAUAUCAAUAAGCGGAGGAAAAGAAACCAACCGGGAUUGCCUCAGUAACGGCGAGUGAAGCGGCAAGAGCUCAAAUUUGAAAGCUGGCUCCUUCGGAGUCCGCAUUGUAAUUUGCAGAGGAUGCUUUGGGUGCGGCCCCCGUCUAAGUGCCCUGGAACGGGCCGUCAGAGAGGGUGAGAAUCCCGUCUUGGGCGGGGUGUCCGUGCCCGUGUAAAGCUCCUUCGACGAGUCGAGUUGUUUGGGAAUGCAGCUCUAAAUGGGUGGUAAAUUUCAUCUAAAGCUAAAUACUGGCCGGAGACCGAUAGCGCACAAGUAGAGUGAUCGAAAGAUGAAAAGCACUUUGAAAAGAGAGUUAAACAGCACGUGAAAUUGUUGAAAGGGAAGCGCUUGCGACCAGACUCGCCCGCGGGGUUCAGCCGGCAUUCGUGCCGGUGUACUUCCCCGUGGGCGGGCCAGCGUCGGUUUGGGCGGCCGGUCAAAGGCCCCUGGAAUGUAGUACCCUCCGGGGUACCUUAUAGCCAGGGGUGCAAUGCGGCCAGCC